ACAACAACAACAACAACAACAAAAAGCAAUAUAUUUACCAAGAAUAUAGAUGUUUUACAAUAAGCAUGUUAUAAAAUACAAAUAAAAAAAAAUAUAUGUAUAGCCUAUAUUCUGGAUGGUUCACUCUCAUAUAGCCUGGCUAAAUCGAGGAGAGCGACCAUUACAUAACAAGUAAAGACUUAAAAAGUUACUUAUUAGCCCAAUAAAAACAAGUAAAGUCACACAUGCUAAUAAAUUAGGCCAUCUGUUGCCUUUUUAUAAGGUUUUGAAUUUGACAAUUUAACAAUAAUACAUGGCUUAUUUUGUGAUGCAUUUAGUAAGUUGAAAAAGUAUAGUUGGGCAAGCAAAAUGUUCAUUCGAGCUGUUUGGAUAGAAAAUACAGAGAAAUAAAGUGAGAAAAAUCGAUCGAUAAUUUUUAUGUGCUGGCUAUCAUCAUUAAAUGUAAUAAAUUGUUUUAAUGAAAUGCAUAAACCGCAUCUAACUAAUACAGAUUUCCGCUGCUCAAAAUUAAAUGUCAUGGAGAUAAUGAGCCACUACCAUGCUUAUGCAAGAGAAAACAUAAUAACCAACAGAAUAGUAAGCAAGUACCUACUCCUGUAACGCAAAAAAAGAAACAGAAAACAAUUUUUAUGCAUACUCCACAUACUGUAGCUCAAGGGAUUAAUUGUCUGUCUGUAAGUUGAU